ensembl:snRNA U6 U6 spliceosomal RNA
GUGCUUGCUUCAGCCGCACAUGUACGAAAAUUGGAAUGAUAGAGAGAUGAGUACGGCCCUUGCGCACAGAUGACAUGAAAAUUCAUGAAGCAUUGCGUAUUUUU